AACGAACGCUGGCGGCAUGCCUAACACAUGCAAGUCGAACGAGACCUUCGGGUCUAGUGGCGCACGGGUGCGUAACGCGUGGGAACCUGCCCUUAGGUUCGGAAUAACUCCCCGAAAGGGGUGCUAAUACCGGAUAAUGUCUUCGGACCAAAGAUUUAUCGCCUUUGGAUGGGCCCGCGUUGGAUUAGCUAGUUGGUAGGGUAAAAGCCUACCACGGCGACGAUCCAUAGCUGGUCUGAGAGGAUGAUCAGCCACACUGGGACUGAGACACGGCCCAGACUCCUACGGGAGGCAGCAGUGGGGGAUAUUGGACAAUGGGCGAAAGCCUGAUCCAGCAAUGCCGCGUGAGUGAUGAAGGCCUUAGGGUUGUAAAGCUCUUUUACCCGGGAUGAUAAUGACAGUACCGGGAGAAUAAGCUCCGGCUAACUCCGUG
rnacentral:rRNA from 1 species